rnacentral:misc_RNA from 1 species
AAUCAGGUUGCCGUCGUCGGUGCGGCCGAAACCACCAAACUUGGCGUCAUCCCCGACAUGUCGCAAAUCCAGUUGCAUGCGGACGCCGCGCUCAAUGCGCUGGCGGAUGCCGGCCUGAAGCUGUCGGACAUCGACGGUAUCGCCACUGCGGUAGAAACGCCGCAACAGCUCGCACACUACCUCGGCAUCACGCCGACAUGGGUUGACGGCACGUCGGUCGGCGGCUGUUCGUUCAUGCUGCAUGUCCGCCACGCCGCGGCGGCA